AGUGAACGCUGGCGGUAGGCCUAACACAUGCAAGUCGAACGGCAGCACAGUAAGAGCUUGCUCUUACGGGUGGCGAGUGGCGGACGGGUGAGGAAUACAUCGGAAUCUACUUUUUCGUGGGGGAUAACGUAGGGAAACUUACGCUAAUACCACAUACGACCUACGGGUGAAAGCAGGGGAUCUUCGGACCUUGCGCGAUUGAAUGAGCCGAUGUCGGAUUAGCUAGUUGGCGGGGUAAAGGCCCACCAAGGCGACGAUCCGUAGCUGGUCUGAGAGGAUGAUCAGCCACACUGGAACUGAGACACGGUCCAGACUCCUACGGGAGGCAGCAGUGGGGAAUAUUGGACAAUGGGCGCAAGCCUGAUCCAGCCAUACCGCGUGGGUGAAGAAGGCCUUCGGGUUGUAAAGACCUUUUGUUGGGAAAGAAAAGCAGCAGGUUAAUACCCCGCUGUUCUGACGGUACCCAAAGAAUAAGCACCGGCUAACUUCGUG
rnacentral:rRNA from 1 species